CACGGAAGGUCCGAGCGUUAUCCGGAUUUAUUGGGUUUAAAGGGAGCGUAGGCGGGUCGCUAAGUCAGCCGUGAAAUCGUGGGGCUCAACUCCAUCCAGCGGUUGAAACUGGUGUCCUUGAGUGCGCAAGAGGCAGGUGGAAUUCGUGGUGUAGCGGUGAAAUGCUUAGAUAUCACGAAGAACUCCGAUUGCGAAGGCAGCCUGCUGGGGCGCAACUGACGCUGAUGCUCGAAGGUGCGGGUAUCAAACA
rnacentral:rRNA from 1 species